ACGACCUUACUUGAACAGGAUCUGUUCUAUAGGUUGUACAACUGUGUCCUUGAGUUCUAAGGAGACAAGAACCUAAGUCUGGUGGAUGAUUUGCUGCUGUGCGACUAGAGCGUGACUAACGGCUCAUGGGCUUCCGGUCCUGCGGCUGUAGAUGAUCGUUCUCGGGCAGGCUUGCCUUCCUGGGUUGGUCGCGCGGUGGUCUGACAGACU